GGCUCAGUAGCACAGCGGUAUGCACCUGCUGAAAUUGUAUUCGGUCGUAUAUAGUUACGCAGGAGGUCCUCGUUCGAUUCGGGGUUGGGUCA